GACGAACGCUGGCGGCGUGCCUAAUACAUGCAAGUCGAACGCAGUGGGGACGGGUGAGUAACACGUGGGUAACCUCCCAUCAGAGGGGAUAACACUUGGAAACAGGUGCUAAACCGAGACUGAUGGAUGGACCCGCGGUGCAUGAGCUAGUUGGGGAGGUAACGGCUCACCAAGGCCACGAUGCAUAGCCGACCUGAGAGGGUUACCGGCCAACCUGGAACUGAGAAACGGCCCAGACUCCUACGGUAGGCAGCAGUAGGGAAUCUUCGGCAAUGGGCGAAAGUCUGACCGAGCAAAGCCGCGUGAGUGAAGAAGGUUUUCGGAUUGUAAAACUCUUUUGUUAGAGAGGCGGUAUCUAACCAGAAAGCAACGGCUAACUCCGUGCCAGCAGCCGCGGUAAUAC
rnacentral:rRNA from 1 species